rnacentral:rRNA from 1 species
UGGGGAAUAUUGGACAAUGGGGGCAACCCUGAUCCAGCAAUGCCGCGUGUGUGAAGAAGGCCUUCGGGUUGUAAAGCACUUUCAGUGGGGAGAAAGGGGCGGAUGUUAAUACCAUCUGCCAUUGAUGUUACCCACAGAAGAAGCACCGGCUAACUCUGUGCCAGCAGCCGCGGUAAUACAGAGGGUGCUAGCGUUAAUCGGAAUUACUGGGCGUAAAGGGUGUGUAGGUGGUUGUGUAAGUUAGAUGUGAAAUCCCCGGGCUCAACCUGGGAACUGCGUUUAAGACUGCAUAACUUGAGUACUGUAGAGGAUAGUGGAAUUUCCAGUGUAGCGGUGAAAUGCGUAGAUAUUGGAAGGAACACCAGUGGCGAAGGCGACUAUCUGGACAGAUACUGACACUGAGACACGAAAGCGUGGGGAGCAAACAGGAUUAGAUACCCCGGUAGUCC